GGAGAGGUGGCUGAGUGGUUGAAAGCGGCGGUCUUGAAAACCGUUAUACCCGUAAGGGUAUCGGGGGUUCGAAUCCCCCCCUCUCCGCCA
rnacentral:tRNA from 1 species